rnacentral:rRNA from 1 species
UACGUAGGGGGCAAGCGUUGUCCGGAAUCAUUGGGCGUAAAGCGCGUGUAGGCGGCUUGGUAAGUCUGCUCUGAAAGCCCGGGGCUCAACCCCGGGAGGCGGGUGGAUACUGUCAAGCUCGAGUCCGGAAGAGGAGUGUGGAAUUCCUGGUGUAGCGGUGAAAUGCGUAGAUAUCUGGAGGAAUACCGGUGGCGAAGGCGGCAUCCUGGACCGACAUUGACGCUGAACGGCGAAAGCUAGGGGAGCAAACGGG